AGCGCGGGCUUCGGCCUGGCGGCGAGUGGCGAACGGGUGAGUAAUACAUCGGAACAUGUCCAGUAGUGGGGGAUAGCCCGGCGAAAGCCGGAUUAAUACCGCAUACGAUCCAUGGAUGAAAGCGGGGGACCGAAAGGCCUCGCGCUAUUGGGGUGGCCGAUGGCGGAUUAGCUAGUUGGUGGGGUAAAGGCCUACCAAGGCGACGAUCCGUAGCUGGUCUGAGAGGACGACCAGCCACACUGGGACUGAGACACGUCCCAGACUCCUACGGGAGGCAGCAGUGGGGAAUUUUGGACAAUGGGCGCAAGCCUGAUCCAGCAAUGCCGCGUGUGUGAAGAAGGCCUUCGGGUUGUAAAGCACUUUUGUCCGGAAAGAAAUCCUCUGGGUUAAUACCCCGGGGGGAUGACGGUACCGGAAGAAUAAGCACCGGCUAACUACGUGCCAGCAGCCGCGGUAAUACGUAGGGUGCGAGCGUUAAUCGGAAUUACUGGGCGUAAAGCGUGCGCAGGCGGUGAUGUAAGACCGAUGUGAAAUCCCCGGGCUUAACCUGGGAACUGCAUUGGUGACUGCAUCGCUGGAGUAUGGCAGAGGGGGGUAGAAUUCCACGUGUAGCAGUGAAAUGCGUAGAGAUGUGGAGGAAUACCGAUGGCGAAGGCAGCCCCCUGGGCCAAUACUGACGCUCAUGCACGAAAGCGUGGGGAGCAAACAGGAUUAGAUACCCUGGUAGUCCACGCCCUAAACGAUGUCAACUGGUUGUCGGGCCUUCAUUGGCUUGGUAACGUAGCUAACGCGUGAAGUUG
rnacentral:rRNA from 1 species